AUUGAACGCUGGCGGCAUGCUUUACACAUGCAAGUCGAACGGUAACAGGCCGCAAGGUUCUGACGAGUGGCGGACGGGUGAGUAAUGCAUCGGAACGUGCCCAGUCGUGGGGGAUAACUACUCGUAAGAGUAGCUAAUACCGCAUACGAUCUAUGGAUGAAAGCGGGGGACCGUAAGGCCUCGCGCGAUUGGAGCGGCCGGUGUCGGAUUAGGUAGUUGGUGGGGGUAAGGCUCACCAAGCCAACGAUCUGUAGCUGGUCUGAGAGGACGACCGGCCACACUGGAACUGAGACACGGACCAGACUCCUACGGGAGGCAGCAGAGGGGAAUGUUAGACAAUAGGCGCGAGCCUGAUACAGCAAUGCGGAGUGCAGGAAGAAGGCCUUCGGGUUGUAAACUGCUUUUGUGCGGAGCGAAACGGCUCUGGUUAAUACCCGGGGCUAAUGACGGUACCGUAAGAAUAAGCACCGGCUAACUACGUG
rnacentral:rRNA from 1 species